rnacentral:lncRNA from 1 species
UAGUCAGAGAAAGAUAAAUACCAUAUGAUCUCACUCGUAUGUAGAAUGUAAGAAACAAACAAAUGAACAAAGAAAAAAGACAAACAAAAAACCAGACUCUUGAAUACAGGGAACAAACUGGUCGUUGCCAGAGGGCAGGUGGUUAGGGGGAUGGGUGAAAUAGAUAAAGGAGAUUAAGAGUACACUUAUCAUGUGAUGAGCACUGAGCAAUGUAUAGAAUUGUAGAAUCAUUGUACACUUGAAACUAAUGUAACACUGUAUGUUACUUAUACUUCUAUUUUGAAAAAAGUUGUUACAGGGAAAGAAAAAAAACUAAAGACUGAUCCCAGGGGUACUCCAAAAUUAGUAGGUCUUGGAGAAGAGGGGGAACUAACACGAAGACUGAGAAGGAAUAACCAGUGAGUCAAGAGGCAAAUAGAAGAGAGUGUGGUGUUCUGGAAGCCAAGCGAAGAAAAUGUAUCGAGGAAGAGGGAGUGAUCAGCCAUGCCACUGGAUUUACAGCCAAUGAAGUUAGCCAACCUUGGGACUUCUUCCAGACGGGGAGCUCCUAACAGGACCAGGAUGGUUCUACAGAAAGCAGGCCUGGGCAGUGUAUUGGAAAGAGACUAGGGGAGCUUCCUUCAUCUAGUGCAUAAUGUGACUUAAAGGGAGGACUCAUUUUAGAAAAUUCUGCAGCUCCAUGAAAGCAUCUUUCACAUAUGACAUAUAGCCUCAGCUGUCCAUGUCCUUGGUCCCAGGUAAAUAAGAGGACUGAUGCCUUGGAUUAGAAAGCUGUUCUCCUCACCCAUUCUGCUGGUAUUCCUUUGUGGGGGUGGGGAGGUAGCAAUCAUGUCAACUCUGGUUGGUCUAUAGUACAGCUGGGUAAUCCAGGAAAAAUGGACGUGGAGGGGAAUAUUG